AAAAAAGAAAGCGCCAGAACUUAAAUCAAAAAAAUUUAAGUUGACGAGGACUGAAGACAUUCGAAAAUUCGGCGGGUACUUCAGAGGGAGCUGUACCCUGAGAAACUUUACAAACCCACAGAGUGAUUUGUGGAACAAAAGA
rnacentral:ncRNA from 1 species